rnacentral:rRNA from 1 species
AACGAACGCUGGCGGCAUGCCUAAUACAUGCAAGUCGAACGAGAUCUUCGGAUCUAGUGGCGCACGGGUGCGUAACGCGUGGGAAUCUGCCCUUGGGUUCGGAAUAACGUCGGGAAACUGACGCUAAUACCGGAUGAUGACGUAAGUCCAAAGAUUUAUCGCCCAGGGAUGAGCCCGCGUAGGAUUAGCUAGUUGGUGGGGUAAAGGCCUACCAAGGCGACGAUCCUUAGCUGGUCUGAGAGGAUGAUCAGCCACACUGGGACUGAGACACGGCCCAGACUCCUACGGGAGGCAGCAGUAGGGAAUAUUGGACAAGGGGGGCAACCCUGAUCCAGCAAUGCCGCGUGAAUGAUGAAGGCCUUAGGGUUGUAAAGCUCUUUUACCCGGGAUGAUAAUGACAGUACCGGGAGAAUAAGCCCCGGCUAACUCCGUGCCAGCCGCCGCGGUAAAAC